UACGUAGGUGGCGAGCGUUGUCCGGAUUUACUGGGCGUAAAGGGCGCGUAGGCGGACGGUCAAGUCGGGGGUGAAAUCUUUCAGCUUAACUGGAAAAGUGCCUCCGAUACUGAUCGUCUCGAGGGAGGUAGGGGCAUGUGGAACUUCCGGUGGAGCGGUGAAAUGCGUAGAUAUCUGGAGGAACACCGGUGGCGAAGGCGGCAUCCUGGACCAAUUCUGACGCUGAGGAGCGAAAGCCAGGGGAGCAAACGGG
rnacentral:rRNA from 1 species